ensembl:lncRNA
GAAAGGGCGGAGCAUUUUUAACACAAUGAUUGACAAUGGCUUCUAUCUCACACACCUGCUGCUUUAAAAUCCCUAUAAAAUGUCAGCAGGGAGUGUAAGUGAUAUAUAGCAGUAGUGCUGCCUGGGUAGGAAUGUUAAGUACCAGGAGAUGGGAGUGUCUGAACCUCAGCUACUGGAAAGACAACCAAACAAGAACCCAAUGUAAUCCAUUUGUAAAGAGAGAGCCUAGCAGAGGGGGUUUAGCACUGGCAGUCACUGUUAAGCCCUGACUUCUGGUUACUGUGUGACUACCCACGAGACUGUCCCUGUCCAAGGUGGGGCCAGUCCCUGGGAACAAGAUCAAGCAGCCCCAAAGUCAUUGCUGGCCACUAGGCCAUUUCCCUGUGGGCUAGGAACUGGCCAUUCAAGAUUGAUCUAGGGAUUCUGAGUGCUUUCUCAGUGUCCUGUGUGUAGGACCUGCUCAGUCAAGGGGCUCUGUGAUAGCUUCCUUGUAGGCAGGUUGCCAAACCCAGGUGACCCAAUACUAAAACCAACCUGAGCACAAACUUACCCUCAAGCCCAGUGAUUCUACCUGGGUGGCCAAAAGCAGGAGGAUGGAAAAGAUUCCAGGUGCCUCUGAGAGCAACAGCUGAAGAGUUAGGUACAAAGCGAGGUCACCAAAGUCAGAGGGUAACCCAGGACAAGUUUGCAAAGUGGUCCUCAGUUGGGCAGAGUUCAGAGAGUGGCAGAAGGGCGACCAGCCCUGGUAUAAUUCUCUAGAAGGCAAGAGGCAAGGGAUCCUGAUUCACAUUUUGUCUCUGGAGUAUUGAGAAUGGGCUGAUCUGGGUAGCUACCGAUUGUGAAGAGUGGAUGGGACUUUCAUUGUUAUUUUAGUUAAUAAGUAUCAGGCACUGUUCUAUCUCCUGGAGAUGCUCUUCUUGCCCUCACAGAGCUAACUAGAUAUUAACUGAAUAUUUCUAGUCCAAUCUGAUGAGUGUUGGGUGGAAUGGGAACCAGAGCUCCCCUGAAGCUGGCAUCAUCCCAAACAUUUGAAAACCUGUUACUUCACCUGCUUGACAAAUCCCAUCUCCCUACUUGAAAGCUUGUCUUGCCACUUCAAGUAUGCUGGCUUUUGUUGAAUGUGUGCUUUAAUUUUUUAAAGUGCUGUCUUAUUAAUCUCUUCUUUUGCAUGUACUUCUUGUGUUUUGAUUCAGUAAAUCUUCCCCUACCCUGAAGUCAUGAGAUACUUUUAUGUUACCUUCUAUAAGUUUGAGUUUUGCUUUCAUUUUAUAG